AAAAAGCCAAUGACGGAGCAAGUAGUUUUUACAGGUGUGGUUAAAAGAGAGAAAAGACAUGGCUGAAAUCUUUUCCGAAGCACGUAACGACGAAUAACACUCAAGAGGCGUUUUUUCGAAAAGUGACAUACUUAGUAGGGGAAGCCGGCGAAUCGACCGUUAUUCGAUAAUGAAGGGGGCAUAGAGCGUAUUUCUAUGUCAACUAGGGUGGAACCGCGGAAGCUAUUAUUCAGCUCUCGUCCCUAGC
rnacentral:ncRNA from 1 species